rfam:Ovis aries breed Texel chromosome 8, whole genome shotgun sequence.
UCCCUGGUGGCUCAGAGGUUAAAGCAUCUGCCUGCAAUGCGGGAGACCUGGGUUUGAUCCCUGGGUCGGGAA